rnacentral:rRNA from 1 species
UACGUAGGAGGCAAGCGUUGUCCGGAUUUACUGGGCGUAAAGAGCGUGUAGGCGGCAUGGCAAGUCUGCUGUGAAAGCUCUCGGCUUAACCGGGAGAGGUCGGUGGAAACUGCCAGGCUAGAGGACGGUAGAGGGAGGUGGAAUUCCCGGUGUAGUGGUGAAAUGCGUAGAUAUCGGGAGGAACACCAGUGGCGAAGGCGGCCCCCUGGGCCGCUCCUGACGCUGAGACGCGAAGGCUAGGGUAGCGAACGGG